rnacentral:rRNA from 1 species
UACGGGAGGCAGCAGUGGGGAAUAUUGCACAAUGGGCGCAAGCCUGAUGCAGCCAUGCCGCGUGUAUGAAGAAGGCCUUCGGGUUGUAAAGUACUUUCAGUCGUGAGGAAGGUGUUAAGGUUAAUAACCUUAGCAAUUGACGUUAGCGACAGAAGAAGCACCGGCUAACUCCGUGCCAGCAGCCGCGGUAAUACGGAGGGUGCGAGCGUUAAUCGGAAUUACUGGGCGUAAAGGGCACGCAGGCGGUUAAUUAAGUUGGAUGUGAAAUCCCCGGGCUUAACCUGGGAAUGGCAUUCAAGACUGGUUAGCUAGAGUCUUGUAGAGGGGGUAGAAUUCCAUGUGUAGCGGUGAAAUGCGUAGAGAUGUGGAGGAAUACCGGUGGCGAAGGCGGCCCCCUGGACAAAGGACUGACGCUCAUGUGCGAAAGCGUGGGGAGCAAAC